ACAAGACGCUCUUCCGAAAUAAAUAUAAUCAGUCAAGCUGGCUGUGCUUUAUGAGAAUACAAAUUAUAGUUGAAUAGUAUUGUGUGUUUUAGUGGAAGUACUGUGACAGCUUAGUCAUGCAAAAUGAGGAAAAGACACUGUUGUACGUGCAGAAUGCAGCACUGAUGAUGGUGGUCAGAGAGAAACAAGAGUGCAGCAACAAAGUUAAUAUCAGUUUGAUAUCAGUUUGACCAU